rnacentral:rRNA from 1 species
UACGUAGGGGGCGAGCGUUAUCCGGAUUUAUUGGGUGUAAAGGGUGCGUAGGCGGUUUAUUAAGUCUAAAAUUAAAGCCUGGGGCUUAACCUCAGUUCGUUUUAGAAACUGGUAGGCUUGAGUAUGGUAGAGGUAAGUGGAAUUUCUAGUGUAGCGGUUAAAUGCGUAGAUAUAUGGAAGAACACCAGUGGCGAAGGCGGCUUUCUGGACUGUAACUGACGUUGAGGCUCGAAAGUGUGGGUAGCAAACAGG